rnacentral:lncRNA from 1 species
GGCGAGUGGAGUGCCUCUAUUGCAACAGGUCGCCACUGUCGGACCUCCUUGACCAUCUUCUUGCAAUAAGUUCUUUGAUAGAGGACAUUGAGAAAAAAGAUAAAGAAAAGGAGGCUAAGGAAAAAGAAAGAAAAGAACAAGAAGAGAAAUGGCUCGAGAAUGGAAGAAAGAUAAUAGAGGUGACGGUGGAGGAACAUUCUCGGUGACUGGAGAAGCAUCCUGAAAUACAGAGAAACAUGGCAAAGAGGAUGGAGCAUAAGAGAGUAAGAAGGGAAUGGGAAAUGAAGAUGGCAAAAAAGAGGUACUUGAAAGGUUCUCUUUCCUCUGAAGAAGCUGGAUCAGCUGUCGGACCUCCACCGGUUCUUGUAAUAAACUCUAUCGUAAAGGAGGCAAUGGAAAAACAAAAAGAAGAAGAUAAAGAAGAGGAAAAACAAAAAGAGAUAGAGCAACCACUCUGCGCAUGCUCUUUCUCACUCCUCCUGAUACUUCAACAAUUCAACAUGUUUUCCCUCCUUCGUGCUCGACGAUCGACGAUGGGGCGAGAGGAGCGCCUCGAUUGGUGUUAGGUUAUCAAGGGUUUGUUUGCACUCCAACAAUUGGAACAGGCCGUCGCCGCGGGACCUCCCCAACCAUCUUCUUACAAUAAGUUCUUUGAUAGAGGACAUUGAGAAAAAAAAAAUAAAGAAAAGGAGGCUAAGGAAAAAGAAAGAAAAGAACAAGAAGAGAAAUGGCUCGAGAAUAGAAGAAAGAUAAUAGAGGUGACGAUGGAGGAGCAUUCUCGGUGGCUAGAGAAGUAUCCUAAAAUACAGAGAAACAUGGCAAAAAGGAUGGAGCAUAAGAGAGUAAGAAGGGAAUGGGAAAUGAAGAUGGCAAAAAAGAAGGUACUUGAAAGGUUCUCUUUCCUCUCUCCGAAGAAGCUGAAUCAACUGCCGGACCUCCCCAAACCGGUUCUUGUAAUAAACUCUAUGGUAAAGGAGACAGUGAAAAAACAAAAAGAAGAAGAAAAAGAAAAAGAAAAACAAAAAGAGAUAAAGCAACCACUCUGUUA